UACGGGGGGGGCAAGCGUUGUUCGGAAUUACUGGGCGUAAAGGGCUCGUAGGUGGCCAACUAAGUCAGACGUGAAAUCCCUCGGCUUAACCGGGGAACUGCGUCUGAUACUGGAUGGCUUGAGUUUGGGAGAGGGAUGCGGAAUUCCAGGUGUAGCGGUGAAAUGCGUAGAUAUCUGGAGGAACACCGGUGGCGAAGGCGGCAUCCUGGACCGGCAUUGACGCUGAGGCGCGAAAGCCAGGGGAGCAAACAGG
rnacentral:rRNA from 1 species